ensembl:lncRNA
CCUGGGCCAAAAUCAGCACAACCCCCUUGAGCACUGAGCCACAUGAGCAAAAGAUGCUUGUUUUCCUGGAGAUUCGGUGCUUGGUUGCUGCACGGCACCAUGGUGACUGUGGACAACCCAUGAGGUGUGGGAGAUCAUCAUCCCAAGGAACAGCCAAUGGAGCAGCAACAUUAAGCCACAGUGCGGGAGUGCCUCGUUGAGAAUGGGAGACAAGUAGACAGAAGGAGCCUGGAUCCCCAGUGGUGCAGAACUGAUAGAACACUUGGUCCAUGUGGCUCAGACUUUGGAGAAAACUGUGUAACACCCACAGUCACUGAAUAUGAGCUGCAUGCAGAAUGGACACAACUUUAGGUGGUCUUAUUGUCACUUUUGGAAAUAAUCGAAGAAUGCUACAUGUCUGGAAGGAAGCAGCCAACAUGGUACCCUAACCAGAGCAACAGGACACUGUGUCUUCUGAAGUGGAGAUCUGAAUUGCUGACAGUGCUUCCUUCUGAUUGGAAUGGUGGGAACAUUAAUUAAAAGCCUCAAAGAAAAAUGUACUUUAAAAAGAGAAGUCUUGGAGAAGAUGGAGAAAGAGCCACCCGACACAGUGUAACCUUCUCACACAUUCAGUUCUAUUUCCAAAUUCUCGUCGACUCCAGUCUCAGCUUGCCAUCAAACAGGAAAUCCUUAUUAAGGACCAAGGUCCCCAGGUUCCCAGUAUUGAAAUAUCUGGUUUACCGUCUUUCUUUGCCUGAUGAGAAACCUGCUAUCCAUGAAAGUUAAAACCUUGCUACACUGAAAACAAAGGCUUAAAUGAGGUUAUUGUUACAAUAAAGCUUUGACUUUGGGAAAAAUGAUAUUUUAUAGGAUUAGCAAUACAAUAGAAGGAACGUGGUCCCUGAUCAACUUUUUGUAAAGGUGUGACUCAGUUUGAAAGACUGGCUACUGCCUUCUGUGAGAAAGAAGUCUGACAGAAAGCCAGUAGGAAAAUACCAAGAAGUGUGAGAAGCACACAGGAAAACUUCAAAACAUGCUAAACAUCAUGGAGGCCUGGAUGCAGAACAGAAAUGUAAAAUUGUGAAAGGCCCAGAAAUUCACUCUUACAGUUUGAAUUUUAAGAAAGUAACACUUAAAAAAUUCAAGAAUCAAACUUUCAACAUAAUACCUAUGAGAAAGUCUUCUUUAAAACAUAACAUUGGCUGGGAAAUGAUUUCAAAGGCAAAGGUUAUACCUGAAGUCAAACAACGCAAGCAUGUCAUACAUGACAUCCAUCUUUGGCCCUGGGACAUCAGUGUUCCUGAUUGUUGGAUCUGCAGACAGAGAGUGGAGCCCAGCCCAACUGCUCCAGUGGUUCUCAGCUCCCAGGCAUGGACUGGAAUUACUCCACCAGGUUCUGUGGGCCUUCAGAUUGGAAAUGAAAAUUUCUGCUUCAUUAAAUGGCCAAAGCAAUGUAACCAUGGACUGAAAUCUCUGAAACAGUGAGCCAAAAUAAAAAUUUCAACAAGAUGUUCCCCCAAAGCCUCAUGAGGACAUAGAUGGAUCUUUUUCAGAGGUGGCUGGAUCUAGAGCAUGG